GUUUAUCAAAAACAUCGCCUCUUGGAAAAUAAGAGGUACUGCCUGCUCAAUGCUUAAAAGUAAAUAGCCGCAGUAUUUUGACUGUGCUAAGGUAGCAUAAUCAUUAGUCUUUUAAUUGAAGGCUGGUAUGAAGGGCAAGACGAGAAAAAAGCUGUCUCUAUCAAAAAAAAUUGAAUUUCAUUUUUUAGUGCAAAAGCUAAAAUACUCUUAAAGGACGAUCAGACCCUAUGGAGUUUAAAACUACUAUUAUUAUAAAUUAAUUUUAAAUAAUUGUAAUAAUAAUAGUUUUUUGUUGGGGCGACAAAAAGAUAAAAAUAACACUUUUUUAUUUUAACUUAUAUAUAAGGAAAAUUGAUCCCUAAAGAAGGAUUAAAAGACUAAGUUACCCUAGGGAUAACAGCGUAAUCUUUUUGGAGAGUUCAUAUCGAUAAAAAGGUUUGCGACCUCGAUGUUGGAUUAAGAAUUUGAUGGGGUGCAGCAGUUCCAUUGUAAAGUCUGUUCGACUUUUAAAAU
rnacentral:rRNA from 1 species